UGAGGAAUAUUGGUCAAUGGGCGCGAGCCUGAACCAGCCAAGUAGCGUGAAGGAUGAAGGUCCUACGGAUUGUAAACUUCUUUUAUAAGGGAAUAAAGUCACCCACGUGUGGGUGUUUGUAUGUACCUUAUGAAUAAGCAUCGGCUAACUCCGUGCCAGCAGCCGCGGUAAUACGGAGGAUGCGAGCGUUAUCCGGAUUUAUUGGGUUUAAAGGGAGCGUAGACGGGUCGUUAAGUCAGCUGUGAAAGUUUGGGGCUCAACCUUAAAAUUGCAGUUGAUACUGGCGUCCUUGAGUACGGUUGAGGCAGGCGGAAUUCGUGGUGUAGCGGUGAAAUGCUUAGAUAUCACGAAGAACCCCGAUUGCGAAGGCAGCCUGCUAAACCGCCACUGACGUUGAGGCUCGAAAGUGUGGGUAUCAAACAGGAUUAGAUACCCUGGUAGUCCACACGGUAAACGAUGGAUACUCGCUGUUGGCGAUAGACUGUCAGCGGCUUAGCGAAAGCGUUAAGUAUCCCACCUGGGGAAUACGCCGGCAACGGUGAAACUCAAAGGAAUUGACGGGGGCCCGCACAAGCGGAGGAACAUGUGGUUUAAUUCGAUGAUACGCGAGGAACCUUACCCGGGCUUGAAUUGCAGACGAAUUGCUUGGAAACAGGCAAGCCGCAAGGCGUCUGUGAAGGUGCUGCAUGGUUGUCGUCAGCUCGUGCCGUGAGGUGUCGGCUUAAGUGCCAUAACGAGCGCAACCCUCGUGUCCAGUUACUAGCAGGUUAUGCUGAGGACUCUGGACAGACUGCCAUCGUAAGAUGUGAGGAAGGUGGGGAUGACGUCAAAUCAGCACGGCCCUUACGUCCGGGGCUACACACGUGUUACAAUGGGGGGUACAGCAGGCAGCUACCGGGCGACCGGAUGCCAAUCCCGAAAGCCUCUCUCAGUUCGGACUGGAGUCUGCAACCCGACUCCACGAAGCUGGAUUCGCUAGUAAUCGCGCAUCAGCCACGGCGCGGUGAAUACGUUCCC
rnacentral:rRNA from 1 species